rnacentral:tRNA from 1 species
AAGUAAGAAAUAAAUUAAUUAUAACCAAUUUCGACUUGGUUUUAGAUAGACUAUAUCCUUACUUA